CCGGCCGGUAGCCCCGUCCCUCGUAUCUCGUUAUCCUUCGAGGCGCGCAAGAGAGCGCCCACCUCAGGAUGACGUUUCCUCGCCGCGCGGCCUGUGCUUUACGUUUCCCAUGCGUCUUACCCUGACCACGUGGAACAUCAAUUCGGUGCGGCUGCGCAUCGAUCUGGUCGCGAAGUUCAUCAAGUCCGUGCGGCCCGAUG
rnacentral:misc_RNA from 1 species